GAGUUUGAUCAUGGCUCAGGAUUAACGCUGGCGGCAUGCCUAAUACAUGCAAGUCGAACGGAGUAGCAAUACUUAGUGGCAAACGGGUGAGUAACACGUAUCUAAUCUACCAUUUAGUGGGGAAUAACUGUUGGAAACGACAGCUAAUACCGCAUAAUAUUGCUGGAUAAUUUCCAGUAAUGAAAGGAGCUUUCAAGCUCCGCUGAUUGAUGAGGAUGCGGCGCAUUAGCUAGUUGGUAGGGUAAUGGCCUACCAAGGCAAUGAUGCGUAGCCGAUCUGAGAGGAUGAACGGCCACAUUGGGACUGAGACACGGCCCAAACUUCUACGGAAGGCAGCAGUAGGGAAUUUUUCACAAUGGGCGAAAGCCUGAUGGAGCAAUGCCGCGUGACUGAUGAAGGUCUUCGGAUUGUAAAGGUCUGUUGUAAGGGAAGAAAUGGUAAAACAGGAAAUGGUUUUAUCUAUGACGGUACCUUACCAGAAAGCCACGGCUAACUAUGUGCCAGCAGCCGCGGUAAUACAUAGGUGGCAAGCGUUAUCCGGAUUUAUUGGGCGUAAAGGGUGCGUAGACGGUUUUGCAAGUCUGAGGUUAAAUUUAGGAGCUCAACUCCUAAUCGCCUUGGAAACUACAAGACUAGAGUAUAGGAGAGGUUAGUGGAAUUCCAUGUGUAGCGGUGGAAUGUGUAGAUAUAUGGAGGGAACACCAGUGGCGAAA
rnacentral:rRNA from 1 species